rnacentral:tRNA from 1 species
GGUCCAAUAGCUUAGCCUGGUCGAGCGCUGGUCUGAUAAACCAGAGGUCGGGGGACCGAAGCCCCCUUGGACCACCA